UCCCUUUUAGCUCAGUUGGUAGAGCGCGUCACUAGUAAUGACGAGGUCAGUCGUUCAAGUCGGCUAGAGGGAA
rnacentral:tRNA from 1 species